UACGGAGGAUGCAAGCGUUAUCCGGAAUGAUUGGGCGUAAAGCGUCCGUAGGUGGUUAUGUAAGUCUGUGGUUAAAGCGUGGGGCUCAACCCCAUAAAGGCCAUGGAAACUACACAACUAGAGUCAAGUAGGGGUAGAGGGAAUUCCCAGUGUAGCGGUGAAAUGCGUAGAGAUUGGGAAGAACACCGGUGGCGAAAGCGCUCUACUGGACUUAAACUGACACUGAGGGACGAAAGCUAGGGGAGCGAAAGGG
rnacentral:rRNA from 1 species